rnacentral:lncRNA from 1 species
CUCCUGACCUCGUGAUCUGCCCGCCUUGGCCUCCCAAAGUGCUGGGAUUACAGGCGUGAGCCACUGUGCCUGGCCCUUUUUGGUGUUCUUAAUACUAAAAUAACACAUAUGUUCCCAUGAUGUUUCAUUUAUUAUAACAAUCAGUUUCUGUGAGAUUUUGGUGAAUCAGUAGAAUAAAAUAAUUUUUGUGCCUUCUCCAAAUUAAUCAAUGGUCCAAAAAUCAUUUACUGAAAACCCUACCAGUUAUCAUGUUCUUACAUAAUUAAUACCUAUAUAUGCAUUUUAUUUAACUCCCAUAACAACUCUGAAAUAGAAAUCAUCAUUCCUCUAUUGCUAACCAGAAAAAUGACCCAAAUAGUAGAGGUGGGACUGGCUGACUGCCAAAGUCUAUGCUUUUUUUUUUUUUUAAGAGACAGUGUUUUUUAGAGACACUCCUAUCGCCUAGACUGGAGUGCAGUGCCAGGAUCAUAGCUCACUGCAGCUUUGAACUCCUAGGCUCAAGUAAUCCUCUGCCUCAGCCUCCCAAACAGCUGGGACUACAGGCAUGUACCACCAUGCCUGGGUAAUUUUUUUAUUUUUAGAGACAGAGUCUCGCUAUGUUUCCCAGGUUGGUCUCAAAUUCCUAGCCUCAAGGAACUCUUCAACUUCAGCCUCCUGAGCUGCUGGGAUACAGGCUUGAGCCACUGUGCCCAGAAAAGCCCAUAAUGUUAAGCACUGCCCCAAGAAAUUUUCUUAUAUUUGAAUAAAAAGUACAUUAGUUACAAUUUUAAAUGCUUUAAUAUUCACCUAAAACUUAGAAGCUUAUAUAGUCUCUUCUACCUAGCAACAUAUCUAACUAGAUUCUUUUUUAUUUUAUUUUAUUUUUUUAUUGAUCAUUCUUAGGUGUUUCUCGCAGAGGGGGAUUUGGCAGGGUCAUAGGACAAUAGUGGAGGGACGGUCAGCAGAUAAACAAGUGAACAAAGGUCUCUAGUUUUCCUAGGCAGAGGACCCUGCAGCGUUCCACAGUGUUUGUGUCCCUGGGUACUUGAGAUUAGGGAGUGGUGAUGAUUCUUAACGAGCAUGCUGCCUUCAAGCAUCUGUUUAACAAAGCACAUCUUGCACCGCCCUUAAUCCAUUUAACCCUGAGUGGACACAGCACAUGUUUCAGAGAGCACAGGGUUGGGGGUAAGGUCACCGAUCAACAGGAUCCCAAGGCAGAAGAAUUUUUCUUUCUAACUAGAUUCUUAAGUUUUUGCCCCUAAAGGCUCUUAGCCAACAUAGAAAACUUUCAUCUUGUGACUUCAGAGUUUUGGGGCAAUUUAUCAGAGAAGCUUACCAUACGGUUGUCAUAACAAUUUAAUACAAAGAUAUACAAGAGAGCACAGUGUCUGGGCAGAGUAGUUUGUCAAGGAAACCUAGUUCCCUUCCUUUCUUAAAGGAGUUAAUAUGUCAGUAAAACCAAUUAUCAUUCUAACCUUGAAUCAUGCAGACAGGGCUAAGUGAAGUUUUCCAAAAUAUAUGGCAAGAGGCCACUGCCUCACCUAGCAAUUACAUGCUAAAGCCCAAACUGUAAGAUACUUUUAUUACUCUUAUUUUACAGAUGAGAAAGUAAGGCACUAAGAGGUCAAAUAACUUGCCUAAUGUUAUAUAGCUAGUAAGUGGUAGAUGAAAUUUGAUUUCCGAGCCUAAGUAUUUAGAGCGCCUUAAAGCAUCAAGUGACAAAUAUAUAACAAAUCUUGCAUAAACAGGACAAAUAAUCUUAUAGGUUAUAUAAAAUCAGAUCCCGGCCGGGCGCAGUGGCUCACGCCUGUAAUCCCAGCACUCUGGGAGGCUGAGGCAGGCGGAUCAUGAGGUCAGGCGAUUGAGACCAUCCUGGCUAACAUGGUGAAACCCUGUCUCUACUAAAAAUACAAAAAAUUAGCCGGGCGUGGUGGCGGGCGCCUGUAAUCCCAGCUACUUGGGAGGCUGAGGCAGGAGAAUGGCGUGAACCCAGGAGGCGGAGGCUGCAGUGAGCCGAGAUCGGGACACUGCACUCCAGACGGGGUAACAGAGCAAGACUCCGUCUCAAAAAAAAAAAAAAAAAAAAAAAUCAGAUCCCAGCUAGGUAGGGAGGCUCAUGCACAUAACCCCAGCAAUCUGGAAGGCUGAGGUGGGAGGGUCACUUGAGCCCAGGAGUUCGAGACCAGCUGGGUAACACAAUGAAACUCGGUCUCUACAAAAAUAGGAAAAAUUAGCCAGGCACAGUGUCACGUGCCUGCAGCCCUAGCUUCUUGGGAGGCUGAGGUGAGAGGAUCCCUGGAGCCUGAGAGGACGAGGCUGCAGCAAGCCAUUACUGUGCCACCACCGUACCCCCAGCUUGGGUGACAAGAGGGGACCCUGUUUAAAAAACAAACAUGGUUGAGAGAAACCCUGAUCAUAGGCUUCCUAAAAUCUGUUUUCAGAUAUGAGUUUUCAGGAGAAAUUUUUGCUUCUUGUUCUCCCAAAGGGCUUCUGACAAGUACAGAAACUCUUCAUGUUCAAUUUAAAUAAACAAACUGUUUUUCCUUUAGACCCUUGGUCUAACAUAGAGCUGCUCCAAUCUCUAAGAGAACUGGAUGACUUGGAUACAUAAAAGGAGAGCUCUUGCAGUCCUAUUCCUACUCUUGACUCAAGUAAAUAUUUUGAUGGAGGUGAGCUAAGAAUUUCCUUUUACCUGAAAUAUUUUAAGUAUUUUGGCACUAAAAAAUAAAAAAAGUAUUUUGGCACUAACAAAUCUGUAAGGGAGCAUAAAAGAAAUAUUAAGAAUUGUACGGCUGGGCGUGCUGGCUCACGCCUGUAAUCCCAGCACUUUGGGAGGCCAAGGCGGGUGGAUCACGAGGUCAGGCGAUCGAGACCAUCCUGGCUAACAAGGUGAAACCCCGUCUCUACUAAAAAUACAAAAAAAUUAGCUGGGUGUGGUGGCAGGUGCCUGUAGUCCCAGCUAUUCAGGAGGCUGAGGCAGGAGAAUGGCGGGAACCCGGGAAGCGGAGCUUGCAGUGAGCCGAGACUGUGCCACUGCACUCUAGCCUCGGCAACAGAGUGAGACUCCAUCUCAAAAAAAAAAAAAAAAAGACUUUUACACCUAUAAUAAAUGUCUUACUGAGGACUCGUAUUUCAAGAUGAGGGAAGAGUACGUGUUUGUUGCUUUCAUGUUGAAGGGAUAAUCAUCCUAGUGAAAUUAUG